rnacentral:rRNA from 1 species
AUUGAACGCUGGCGGCAUGCCUAACAUAUGCAAGUCGCACGCGAAAGGGGGCAACCCUGAGUAGAGUGGCGGACGGGUGAGUAACGCGUAGGAAUCUACCUGGUAGUGGGGGACAACCCGGUGAAAACCGGGCUAAUACCGCAUACGAUCCACGGAUGAAAGCGGGGGACCGCAAGGCCUUGCGCUAUCAGAUGAGCCUGCGUCGGAUUAGCUAGUUGGUGGGGUAAAGGCCCACCAAGGCGACGAUCCGUAGCUGGUUUGAGAGAACGACCAGCCACACUGGGACUGAGACACGGCCCAGACUCCUACGGGAGGCAGCAGUGGGGAAUAUUGGACAAUGGGGGCAACCCUGAUCCAGCAAUGCCGCGUGUGUGAAGAAGGCCUUCGGGUUGUAAAGCACUUUCGGUGGGGACAAACAAGGUGGAGCUAACAUCUCCGCCUCUGAUGGUACCCAAAGAAGAAGCACCGGCUAACUCUGUGCCAGCCGCCGCCGUAA